rnacentral:lncRNA from 1 species
UUGGGCUAUCAUCUAUACCACCCAGUAGUACCCUUAGGGUUAGGAUGAUGUGGGCCCCCUAGGGCUAAGUAGUGGUUGGUUGAAUAGUAUAAUCUAACGGGUAAAAAUAAUUAAAGGGUUAAAUUUAACGAUGGAAAACUCGAUAGCGCAUCAAAUUCUUGGUGCUAUCGAUAGUAUCCCAGCGGGACUCCCCCUACCUGUUCAUUAUUAAUUAGCAGGCCUUUUAUUGUGAACAGAUUCCAACACAGCUACAUAUAUACAUUCCUACAUUAUCUUUUAAGGGAUAGUUGUUUAUGUACGUAUGAAAAUUUCUUGACUUUCUUAUUUAUUCUUUUUAGAAGGUUAAUAUUAAAGAUAUUUUUUUUAAUAUUUUAAAUUAUUGCAAAUAUGCUACUAAAUUUAAAUUUUGUUAGGAAACUGUUAGGGACAGCCGUUAUCUCUGUAAAAUUAUCAUUUUAUUAUUUUAAAUAAAUACUUCUACUGUCAUCAACUUUUCUUAUUUGCUUAAGUUAGGGGCAAAAAAAGUAUUUUGACCAUUUACCUUUUCAAAUUUACCCUUCUACUGUUACCAACUUUUUUUAUUUGUUCUUAAGUUAGGGACAAAAGAGAUAUUUUGAUUUUUUUAACUUUGAUGACUUAACGGAUACUAAUACCGAAAUUAUUUUUGAAUAACGAAAAAAUAUAUGAAAGAUAUAUUUGAAACAAAAAAAAAGUAAAAAUAUAUAAGUAUUUCAAAGGUUUUGAGAGGUAUAUUAGAUAAUAU